ACCAGCAGUUCGGCUGGGCACUCUAAAGGGACUGCCGGUGUUAAACCGGAGGAAGGUGGGGAUGACGUCAAGUCCUCAUGGCCUUUAUGACCAGGGCUACACACGUACUACAAUGGCCGAUACAAAGGGCAGCGACACUGCGAGGUGAAGCCAAUCCCGUAAAAUCGGUCUCAGUCCGGAUUGGAGUCUGCAACUCGACUCCAUGAAGUUGGAAUCGCUAGUAAUCGUGGAUCAGCAUGCCACGGUGAAUACGUUCCCGGGCCUU
rnacentral:rRNA from 1 species